rnacentral:rRNA from 1 species
GACGAACGCUGGCGGCGUGCUUAACACAUGCAAGUCGAACGGAGAAUUUAUUUCGGUAAAUUCUUAGUGGCGAACGGGUGAGUAACGCGUGGGCAACCUGCCCUUCAGAUGGGGACAACAUCCCGAAAGGGGUGCUAAUACCGAAUACGAUCACGCUGCCGCAUGGCGGAGUGAUGAAAGAUGGCCUCUAUUUAUAAGCUAUCGCUGAAGGAUGGGCCUGCGUCUGAUUAGCUAGUUGGUGGGGUAACGACCUACCAAGGCGAUGAUCAGUAGCCGGUCUGAGAGGAUGAACGGCCACAUUGGGACUGAGACACGGCCCAAACUCCUACGGGAGGCAGCAGUGGGGAAUAUUCCGCAAUGGACGAAAGUCUGACGGAGCAACGCCGCGUGAGUGAUGAAGGUUUUCGGACUGUAAAGCUCUGUUGUUUAGGACGAAAGUGCCUGUUGCAAAUAGUUGCAGGUAUUGACGGUACUGAACGAGGAAGCCACGGCUAACUA